UUUCCUGUUGUCAUUACGGUAUUAAUCAACUCCAAAUAGUAACUAAGAAUAUUAUCACUCAGAUGUACGAAAAAUGAGUAUGGAAUGCCAUCUAGACCAGGAGCGGAAUCUACAGUAUUUUGCACAAUCCCCUUUAAUUCACUUAGGGAGAACGGGAGGUGUAAUGUAUUAGUUGUAGACUGUUUCGAACUAUCGGCAUUAGUUCCGCACGGUGCACAACAAAUGUUCUGAGGAACCCAUGGUGGAGCCAAAUGGUCCAGGAAGUCAGAGGCUAAAGAAUCAGGAAUAGCAGGCGUCGGCUGUGUAAAAACGGACCUGAAUUUACGAAUAUUUUGCCAAACUAUAGUAGGGUUUGAUCGUCUCUUUGAAAUAGUUGGCAUAGAGAAUGGGCUGGAAAUAACUAUUGGGAAAUGGUCACUGCCAUAUGUAGAAGAAAGGGUAUUCCAGGUUAGUGAAGAAGCUAGAUUAGGAGAACAAAUGGAUAGAUCCACAGCACUGUUAUUCUGAUUAGGGGCUGACCGCCGAGUGGCGAUACCUGUAUUUAAUAUGCAUAGAUUAUGUUGGUCUAUUAUGUCAAGUAAGUCCUGCCCAUAGUUGCUUGAAAUUGAGCAGCCCCAACAUUGGUGGUGGCAAUUUAAAUCUCCCAUUAUAAUUAAAGGUCUUGGAAGAAUAGAGAAGAGAUGGUUGAUCUCAAGAAGUAAAGAAGAAGAAGGGUGAGGAACAUAAAUAGAGACAAGGCAAAGAUUGUAUACUUUAAUAGCAACAAUUGAAAUGUCCUCACUAUGUGGUGGGAAGGAAAUGAUAGAAAAGGGGAUAGAAUUCUUGAUAAGUAUGGCUACUCCACCAUACCCAUCAAGUCUAUCAUCUCUAAUAAUUAAAUAGUUAUUAAUUUUAAAAACAUUAUGUGGCUUCAGCCAAGUUUCUGCUAAAGCAAAAACUGAAGGCUUAUAUCUAUUAAGUAAAUAAAUUAUGUCACUUUUUUUGCUCAAUAGGCUGCGACAAUUCCACUGUAUUAUGCAGUCCAUGAUUGGUGGGAAGAGUAAAAGUAUUAAGAAAAGAGGCAGCGUUGGACGGUGAAAUAUUAAAUUGAGAAAGGAGUUGUAAGAAAGCUGUAAUGAAAUCAUUUAUAGACAUGUUA